UAAACUAGGAUUAGAUACCCUAUUAUUUUAAAGGUUAAUUUUUUAUAUCAAAUUAGUAUUAGUUAUUUUCUUGAAAAUUAAAAAAUUUGGCGGUAUUUUAGUCUUUUCAGAGGAACCUGUCCUAUAAUUGAUAGUCCACGAUAAGAUUUACUUUUUUUAUUAGUUUACAUAUCGUCGUAGUUUAAAUAUUUUAAUAGAAGAUAUUUAAAAUUUUAAAUUAAAAAAUAAAUCAGAUCAAGGUGUAGUAUAUAUAAAAGAAGAGAUGGGUUACAUUAAAUUUAUUUUUGAAUAAUUUUUUUUAAAAGAAUUUGAAUUUGGAUUUGAAAGUAAUUUUUUAUAUUUUUUUAAUAUGAUUUAAGCUCUAAAAUAUGCACACAUCGCCCGUCGCUCUUAA
rnacentral:rRNA from 1 species